AAUCUCACCUAGAAAGUGAUACCCGUCACAUCUAGUAGCGAGUCUUGGGUUAUAAAUGGUAACAUUUAUGAUUAAGCGUAGACAGUUAGAUAUCAGGGUUAGUAUUGAGCUUCGAAAUGUAUCGGUAUAUUUCAAGAGUGUAGACGCUGUCGUCCAAGCGGAAUACUAUAUUUAAUAAUACGAUACGGGAAGUAUUAUUAAACUCUUGCGGAGUCUGAAA
rnacentral:ncRNA from 1 species